rnacentral:rRNA from 1 species
AACGAACGCUGGCGGCAUGCCUAACACAUGCAAGUCGAACGAGACCUUCGGGUCUAGUGGCGCACGGGUGCGUAACGCGUGGGAACCUGCCCUUAGGUUCGGAAUAACUCCCCGAAAGGGGUGCUAAUACCGGAUAAUGUCUUCGGACCAAAGAUUUAUCGCCUUUGGAUGGGCCCGCGUUGGAUUAGCUAGUUGGUAGGGUAAAAGCCUACCAAGGCGACGAUCCAUAGCUGGUCUGAGAGGAUGAUCAGCCACACUGGGACUGAGACACGGCCCAGACUCCUACGGGAGACAGCAGUGGGGAAUAUUGGACAAUGGGCGAAAGCCUGAUCCAGCAAUGCCGCGUGAGGGAUGAAGGCCUUAGGGUUGUAAAGCUCUUUUACCCGGGAUGAUAAUGACAGUACCGGGAGAAUAAGCUCCGGCUAACUCCGUGC